AAAACUUUCAACAACGGAUCUCUUGGUUCUCGCAUCGAUGAAGAACGCAGCGAAAUGCGAUAAGUAAUAUGAAUUGCAGAUAUUCGUGAAUCAUCGAAUCUUUGAACGCACAUUGCGCCCUUUGGUAUUCCAAAGGGCAUGCCUGUUUGAGCGUCAUUU
rnacentral:rRNA from 1 species